CAGCAGCCGCGGUAAUACGUAGGGGGCAAGCGUUAUCCGGAUUUACUGGGUGUAAAGGGAGCGCAGGCGGCCAAGCAAGUCUGAAGUGAAAUGCAUGGGCUCAACCCAUGAAUUGCCUUGGAAACUGUUAGGCUUGAGUGUCGGAGGGGUAAGCGGAAUUCCUAGUGUAGCGGUGAAAUGCGUAGAUAUUAGGAGGAACACCGGAGGCGAAGGCGGCUUACUGGACGACAACUGACGUUGAGGCUCGAAGGCGUGGGGAGCAAACAGGAUUAGAUACCCCGGUAGUCCCUGUCUCUUAUAC
rnacentral:rRNA from 1 species